UAAUACGGAGGGUGCAAGCGUUAUCCGGAUUCACUGGGUUUAAAGGGUGCGUAGGCGGGCAGGUAAGUCAGUGGUGAAAUCCUGGAGCUUAACUCCAGAACUGCCAUUGAUACUAUCUGUCUUGAAUAUUGUGGAGGUAAGCGGAAUAUGUCAUGUAGCGGUGAAAUGCUUAGAUAUGACAUAGAACACCUAUUGCGAAGGCAGCUUACUACGCAUAUAUUGACGCUGAGGCACGAAAGCGUGGGGAUCAAACAGGAUUAGAUACCCUGGUAGUCCACGCCCUAAACGAUGAUUACUCGACAUUAGCGAUACACUGUUAGUGUCUGAGCGAAAGCAUUAAGUAAUCCACCUGGGAAGUACGACCGCAAGGUUGAAACUCAAAUGAAUUGACGGG
rnacentral:rRNA from 1 species